ACCCGCUGAACUUAAGCAUAUCAAUAAGCGGAGGAAAAGAAACCAACAGGGAUUGCCUCAGUAACGGCGAGUGAAGCGGCAAGAGCUCAAAUUUAAAAGCCGACGUAGCUUUAAGAGACGUCCGCAUUGUAAUUUGAAGAGGCAUUCUCGGGUCGGGGCUCAGGCCUAAGUUCCUUGGAAGAGGGCGUCGUGGAGGGUGAGAACCCCGUUCGCGGCCUGCUGUCGACCUUUCCCCGAUCCACACGAGGUGCCAUCGAAGAGUCGAGUUGUUUGGGAAUGCAGCUCAAGCGGGUGGUAAAUUCCAUCUAAAGCUAAAUAUUGACGGGAGACCGAUAGCGAACAAGUAGAGUGAUCGAAAGAUGAAAAGCACUUUGGAAAGAGAGUUAAACAGCACGUGAAAUUGUUGAAAGGGAAGCGCUUGAGACCAGUCACGGACCGAGGCGAUCAGUGGGACGUCCCUCUCGGGGGAGGAACCGCGCACUCGCUUUUCGGGUUUUCCGGGUCAACAUCGGUUGGGACGGUGUCAGAAAGGUCGCGGGAACGUGGCUCCCUUCACGGGGAGUGUUAUAGCCCGUGGCGUCAAAGUCGCCAGUUUCGACCGAGGACCGCGCUCGUCUUUUUCGAGCAAGGAUGUUGACGUAAUGGUCCC
rnacentral:rRNA from 1 species